UUUGCAGCCGCCCUCUUAGUCUUAGUGGACCUCACUCUUUGCAGAGGCUGUUAGGAGCAGUGCCUAGCCACAAUAGCAAGCCUACGUACAGUCUCACUCUGUUGCCCAGGUGGGAGUGCAGUGGUGCAGUGUGAUCACACCUUGACCUCCUGGGCUCAAGCGAUCCUUCCACCUCAGCCUCCUGAGUAGCUGGGACUACAGUGAAAUCCUAUGCUGUUGGAAAUGGAGAAAGGGAGAGGAAUAGUGAUGGCUGGAGGAAUCAGAUUUGGGAAUGCACAGUCCAGAUGAUAACAGUGACCCACAAGGAGGAAUUGUGGCAAGAAGCAUGCAGCCCAGAGCAAUCCCCAGGCAAUUGUUCUUCCUGCUGCCCUGGAUAAUGUGGUGAGAGGUUGUAGGGACUAGCCCCUGUGGUUUGCAGCUAAUGUAAAGCUGAAUAAAGAAAUUCACCAUAAUCAAA